rnacentral:tRNA from 1 species
CAGGGAGACAAACAUUGGUCAUGAUGUCUGAGAUAUUUUUCCUUAGGCCAUGAUCCUGUCACCUUAGGUCGAUCGGUACCUCAGAAUAUAAGUAUCAAGAAAUUUAAUUUUUAGAUACUUGAUUUUCAGUUCCUAAACUUAUCUAGGUCACACCCAACAAGGGUACUCCUGGGCCAUUAGCUCAGGUGGUUAGAGCGCACCCCUGAUAAGGGUGAGGUCCCUGGUUCAAGUCCAGGAUGGCCCAUUCGGUGUUGGGGGUAUAGCUCAGUUGGUAGAGCGCCUGCUUUGCAAGCAGGAUGUCAGCGGUUCGAGUCCGCUUACCUCCACUGAUCGAUUCUCUGACAACCAAACAAAGGAGAUUUCCUUGAUAGAUGUGAUUUAGACAUUUGUUUGACUGAAUGAACCUAGCUUCCUGUCAUUCCUGUAUUUUAAAAAGAAUAUUAGGUUGAUAAGAUGCUGGGCUCACUGCAAUUUGAAAGAAUUGCAGUUUAAGUUCAGUAGAACCUUGACAACUGCAUAGGUGAGUCUGGAAAGAAUAAAGCAUCUCAUGGAUACAUUAUUCUUUUAAUGACUAAUUAGAUUUCUACGUAAGUAGUUAUUAAAUUAUCAAGUGAAUAAUGUUUAAUUCUUGAGCAAGAGUUGAACUUCUAUAGACAUUUUGAUGAUUUAAACUCAUCAAAAUUUUCUAGAUAUUCAAUCUUAUUUGAACAUCUAAAAAAUCUAUAGAGGUAUAUAU